rnacentral:rRNA from 1 species
CCCGGUGCUUCUCCCGGUGAGGUCACACCCGUUCCCAUUCCGAACACGGCCGUUAAGCUCACCAGGGCUGAUGGUACUUGAACCGCAAGGUUCUGGGAGAGUAGGUCAGUGCCGGGA